rnacentral:rRNA from 1 species
UACGUAGGUGGCGAGCGUUAUCCGGAUUUACUGGGCGUAAAGCGCUUGUAGGCGGCUUCGUAAGUUGGGCGUGAAAGCUCCGGGCUUAACCCGGAGAGGCCGUCCAAUACUGCGGGGCUCGAGGGUGCCAGAGGAAGGUGGAAUUCCUGGUGGAGCGGUGAAAUGCGUAGAUAUCAGGAGGAACACCCGUGGCGAAGGCGGCUUUCUGGGGCAUCCCUGACGCUGAGAAGCGAAAGCUAGGGGAGCAAACAGG